UGCGUUCCGAGUGAGCGCAGUGUAGACACAAAGGUCUUCGACACAUGUGCAUUACAGGCUGCAAGGCAAGACGGAAAUAUGUCUGCGCAGAAACGCAGCGCCGGCGAUUUCGCAGCAACUAGCAAGUUGCUCCUGGCGGCCCUCUUGCUUCUGUGGAUACUCUGGAUAAUGUUCGGCUACCGGAGCAACCUGGUGCGGCGGGCUGAACGUGAACACAUUGAAAUUGUGCACCCUCAUGCACGGACGCCGCCACCGCAAAUCGGUCCGGAGAGUCAAGUGACCAAAAUGACCACUGUGAAAGAAAGUACCGAUGCGUCCGUGUCAAAGAAACGCACAAGGUCAUCCAAGUUUCGUGAUAUUUGUUGGAAGCCGCAGUGCAUAGCUAUUGCGGAUAUAAUCAGUGACGGCUUGGGAAAGUCAACACCUUGCGAUAACUUCUUCGACUUUGUAUGCGAAAAACGAGCAGAGAACACGGAAUUGCCGCCAUCAAAGGUUAAGGACUCUGCAAUUGAAUCCCUAUUGCGAAUUCUGAAGAGCCCUAAUGCCAAAGGAAGCACAAAAUCCACUGCGGUGGGGAAAUUUACUAGCGCCUACAUGUCAUGCAUAAAUGAAGGAAACGACAGCCUGAGGCUCCAUGAAUCUAUGCAGAGAAUAUUUCGUCAGCUGGGUUUUCAUGACUGGUAUUCAUCAAGCAAAGAGCCUACUAAUGGAACUGACGAGACCAUCGGCAAUAUUUUAAGCGAAAUCGGCUUGCGCCCUUUUUUCGACUACAGCGUUCAACUGGAACCAAGGAAGCCCAGCAGCAAAUGGACAAUCAUAAUUACGAAGCGGACUGACUUCUUUCUUCUGUCUUGCGCAUCCGAAAAAUUCAGGUCACUGUCGUCACGAGAAAAGUUCAGUGAAUCCAAGCAAUCACAAGAGAGUGCUGAAAACAUAUCCACAAAGCAAUACAGCCGCUGUAAAAAAAUAGUUGCUGAAAUACUUAGACUUACGAGCGCCAAUGUGACGAAGAACCAAAGUAUGAUAAUUGCGGAAGACAUUCUGACUUUUGAACGGGCGUUUUCAAAGCUCUCUAAGCAGGCGGUUGGGAAACCAAUCGAAAUAAACAUGACAUCCGAGAAUGGGACAGCCGCUUCAACUCACUUUUCCUUACGAUUUAUGCUUGAAAAGGAGCUACGUGACAUCAACGCAACCUUAAAGGACGACAUUCGGGUUAUACUAGAGUGCCCGGACUACUAUGCAGGCUUGAUAAACUUUGUAAGCAGAGUAAACAGCACGAUAGCCAUCAAGAACUACAUCGCAUGGAGUUACAUAAGAUCAAUGGCUAACGUGGAAGGAACUUCUCUUCACGACCUGUAUAUGACCUACAGUUUCAACACGACAAACCUCACACGUUCAUCUGCAAGGAAGAACGUGAGGAAAAUCUUGCCUCUUGCGACUACUGAAGCCAGAAACGAUGCUCACUGCAGGAACCAGCCUUUAUAUCAAGUAUAACUUCGACAAAUACGACCGCAAGAACGUGCACAAGAUGUUGCAAUUCAUCAAAGCGUCCUUCAAAGUGAUCAUCCUAGAAAACAAGUGGAUGACGGACUUGACUAAGAACAAAGCUGCUGAACGAGUGAGAUUGUUCUGUUUGAAGCGCAGUUAGCUAACAGGUGCUACCGUGUAAGCACAUUCAAUCCAUGUUAAUAGUAGCUCGAAAUGAUUACAGUUGGCGAGAAUGGAAACAGUGGUUGGCUAUCCUGACUGGAUGAUGGAUGACACUGUAGUGGACAAUCUGUAUAGAUACAUUCCCCUCCUGAAGGAAACUACAUCGUUCACUGAGCACAUAUUUUGGAUACAAGAAAACAGUCGCUACCAGGAGCUUGUAAAACUGA